rnacentral:rRNA from 1 species
GCAUACUGCCGUGAAUACGUUCCCGGGCCUUGUACACACCGCCCGUCACACCAUGAGAGUUGGGAAUACCCGAAGCCUGUGAGCUAACUGUAAGGAGGCAGCAGUCGAAGGUAGAAUCAAUGAUUGGGGUGAAGUCGUAACAAGGUAAC